rnacentral:lncRNA from 1 species
ACAUUCUAACUAUUACAUAACAUCUCUUCAGUACUCUGGCUAACCUUCUGAUCUACCCUGUACCUGCACAUCUGGGGUUAGGGGAGAGGGGUGAGCUAGAAAGCCCAGUGAGCAGAAUAGAGAAAAACAUUAUAUUAAAGUUUCAUGCUCACAUGAAAUGCAACACAUCACAAACAAAUCACAUAAGGAUGGUAUCGUCACCUCUAGUCCUCUACAAUCCAAAGUGCCGGGACGUAGAAUGGGUCAACCGGUCUUUCUCUUACAUAACAUACAUAACAUAACAUUCCAAUAUGCCAGGGACGUAGAAUGGGUCAACCUGGUCUUUCUCUUAUUCUGGCCGGGACGUAGAAUGGGUCAACCGGCAAACAUACCAUACCAUGUCUCAUCAUAACAUAUCAAGGACUAAAGGAUCAUUCAAUGCCCAUCCACAUCAUCAUCAAGUAUGCAAUGCAACAUAUUCGUGAACUAAUGCAAG